rnacentral:rRNA from 1 species
UACGUAGAUGGCAAGCGUUGUCCGGAUUUACUGGGCGUAAAGCAUGCGCAGGCGGACCUUUAAGUCAGAUGUGAAAUACCCGAGCUUAACUUGGGAACUGCAUUUGAAACUGGGUGUCUAGAGUGCAGGAGAGGUAAGUGGAAUUCCUAGUGUAGCGGUGAAAUGCGUAGAGAUUAGGAGGAACACCAGUGGCGAAGGCGACUUACUGGACUGUAACUGACGCUGAGGCACGAAAGCGUGGGGAGCAAACAGG